CUUGGUGAUGGACCGCGGUGUUCAGGCCUGAACCUUGGGGUCUGGGGGCUUCUUGGAUGAGAUCUCAAGGCUGCAUGGCAGGUCCCAGGGCCAGGGCCCCACGGUGUCACACGUAUCACGGAUGGCCGCCAGCGAAGCACAGCACAGCUCCGAGCUGCUGCAUGGGAGCCUGUGGCCCCCGCUGCUGCCUCCGCUUUCCUCUUCGUUUCGUGUCUAGGAAGAUGCACCUGAGCCCCCUGACAUUGCCCAAGUGCCCAAGGGCCCUUCUGGGAACCCCCAGAGAGGCUGAAGGAGGCCCCCGUAGGAGUGGGUGGUUCUGCACUGUGGGCCAGAAGGGGCCCUGGGAUUAGCCACGCUUGGAGAGGGUGGGGUAGCCCUUGGAGGAAGUCCGCACCAAGUCUGACCUUCCGGGUUUCUCAGAGCCUCUCUUCCUUCCUCCCUUCACCUUCUCCCUCUUUUUUUCCCCUUGUAUCACGAAUACAAACAGGCUCAAAUCUCCCUCUGUCUCCUAAUGG
rnacentral:lncRNA from 1 species